rnacentral:siRNA from 1 species
AGUUGCUUUAUCGUAUCCACACA